UAGAUAAUAGGUCUAUGGUCACCACUCACAACCCUGGCAAUCCACGUUUUUACCUGUUAUUUAGGGGCCGAAGUGCCGAACUGUAUUAGGCCCAGUACGGGCACAGUGGCAGUGGCAGUGGCAGUGUAGUACAGCUUAGCAAGCUGUAGCCAUAACGAUUGUUAUAGCUAUGGCCUACGAGAUAUCUAUGAGAUGUACCAAAGCUAUCAACACCUGAGCACUUUCACGAUACUCAGCCACUUAUUUUAUUUAUUUUAUUUGUUACAUGUAUUUCAUUUAUACGCAAUAAAUACAUUGUUCGUUAUUAAGUUUAACUUUCAUUCAAAAUAACCAUUUGGAUUCAAAUCUGAUACUGACACGCAACAAUUUGGCGCAGUCGGUAGGAUUCACUUUUCAAGGAGGCAAACCGUCAAAGGCCACCAUCAACAAGGAAGAUUGCGCAGUCUUCCUCGCUGAUAACUCCAGAAGAGAAGACCAUUCAAUUCAACGUUGCAGAAAGUAUUCAGAUAGGAUGACAACAUCAACGAACAUUGCAUUAUUGUGAGUGAAUAGUUAAUUAAAUUAUUACACAAAUAUAUGUUACAAAAAUAUAAAACCUAAGAAGUAUCAUUUAUGUAACUGAAUAUAUUCAAGUAGGUCGCAAAAAAACUAUUAAGGAAUUUUUUUUGAUUAUUAAAGGGCAUAUAUUAUUAUAGUUGAUUGUAAAACGUAUCAAAUGAGUGUGAAAGCAAUUUAUGGAAAACACAGGUACAUCUCCUUUGGAAGUAGCUAAUCCAUCGAAUAAGACGUCUUUAGAAACUCCAGAUUUGAGUUUAAAGUAUUAAAUAAAACCCAACAGUUGAUUGAUUUGGGAAGCCCUAGUAAAAGCCCUAGCCCUACUGAAAGCCCGAAAGAACGCCCUAGUCUAUUAGAAGCCCAAGUGAAUGUCAGAGCGCGAAAAUAAAACACAGCUUAGCGAGAAGUUUAAGCUUAGACAAUAAAAAGGUUACACGUAGCAAGGUUACGGACGAUUUUGAACACACUGAGUUAACGUUCGGGAGAAAACCGCGUGUAAAUAAAAUGGUUACCAUAAAAUUAGAGGAAGCAUUUAAGCUUAUACCUAUGUGUAUGGGAGAAGACGAUAAUAUCUAACCGUUCAUAAAUGCAUGUGAUAUGGCAGUAAAUUUGGCUGAAGAAAAAUGCGCACCAACUUUAGUUAAAUAUUUAACAAAUAGAUUAUGUUGUAGAGCAUUAGAAAUGAUAAAAUAUAAAAAUGUUACUAAAUGGGUAUACAUUAAGAGUUAUUACUUAUUUAUCGGAUGCUUUUUAAGAUACGACAACCGCUUCAAGUUUACAAAUACAAUUAAAUUCUAUUAAAAUGUGUUAUGAUGAAAACGUCAAUGAUUAUUGCCAUAGAGUAGAAACAUUGUAUUAUAAAUUAUGUACUGCGUGUACACUAAUUAAUAAAGAGGAAUCAGAAGCAAAAGUAAUUCACGAAACUUUAAUAAGAAUUUUUUCGUUCAAUUUGAGAAAUUAAGUAAUAGGGAAAUAAUUUUUGAAGUAGAUAUAGGAAAAUAUGAUAAAUCAAGAAGACUAUACUUAACUUAGUAGAAACACAUGACAGAGUAUGAUGCAACAGAAAACAUAAGACUACGUAUGCACAUGACCCAAGAAUGGAUGUGGAGUAUACGAAAUGUAUAUUCAAUCAUUUGCUACAGAAACAGCGGUAUGAAAAUUUAUUGAAUUUUUGAAAUAUUAUUAUAUCCUAUGUGUAGGUUCAGUUAUUUAAUUUGGUAUGUGGGUAGAACGUAACAUUCGUGUGUAAUAUUAAUUAAUUGUUCACUAAUUUAUUUUAUUAUUUUAAUUGUAAUAAUCAAGGUGAAGGAGAUUUAAAUAUUAAAAAAAUAUAUAUAAAUAAUAUAUAUUAUACUAACAUACUUUAUAUUGUAUUCUCAAUUGAUUUAAAUUUGAUAUAACUAACAUUAUUAUUAUUACCAAUGUAAAAUUGAAAUUGUAAGUAGUGUAACUGAGUGAAUUAAGAAAAAAUUGUAAAGAUUUCUGUCUUGCAGACAUAAACCUUUUAAAGUAAAAAAAAUUUAAACUGUGUAAAAUACAAAACUUGUAAUACGACAUAACUAAUUUUCUAAUACAUCAAUUAACUUUUAGUAAACUCCCAAACAUCAGAAAUAUAACGUGCUUUUGUAAAAAAAACCAUCAAAAUCGUAUGUAAUAAAUGAAAAAUGAGAACUUUUUAAUGGAAAUUUAUAUUAAAUUCAGAAUCACGGCAGUCGUUUUUAGGGUACUAUAGAAGUUUAUAGUGCCGUUCAUGAUAUAAUUAUAUAUAGGUUAUAUUAUAGUUAUAUCAUGGCUCUGCCAAUAGUUUGGUUAUUUUAGCCCCAAAAGGCAGUAGAAACAAUAAUGUUUAUAAAGAAUUAUUGAGAUGAAUAAAAUAUGUCAAUGUAAAUAUUUUUUUUUAGUUUUUAUAACACCAUAAUGUAUAUUUUUUGGCGACUUAUAAUUGUUACAGUACAUGGCAACCUAGAAUCAACAUAAUUUCUAAAAGCAGAUUGUAAUAAAUAUAAAAACUGAUUGAAUAAAAGUUUUAGUAGGUAACAAAAAACUGUACACGGGCAAAGCCGGGUUAUUCAGCUAAUUUUAUUACACCUAUAUAGUAUAUAUAUUUUUUAUUUUAUGCGUACGCCGUAACGCUUAUAAACUAUAUUGUUACAUUUCUGUAUUAAAAAAAAAAACAUUUUAGGUUCUGAGAGAAUCGACAAAUCACAGAUGUAUUUAUUUUGAUAUCUGUCGUCAAACAUUGGAGCAGUAAAAAUGCUUAGAUUUUUAACAUCGAUAAUUUGUCUAGUACCUACUAUAAAAUACUUUUCUCAGUGAGUUAGAAACGAAGUAUAGGUACAAAGAGCUAUAAUAAUAAUUUGAAAACGAUGAUGGUAUAGAGAAUGACAAUAUAAAUGAUCAAGAAAAUUUCUAGUUUCUUAUUCUUUAUUUUUUUUAAUAUUGUCACAUAAUAUAGUCGGCGACUUCGGACGUGUUUCCUGUGAUAGGUGUUUGGUACGGCGAAUGAUAUUUUUUCAGCGAGACAGCUAUAAAUCCGCACCGAGUCCUGUCCAUCGUAUCUUGAUUCAAGUACCAUAAAUUUUAUAUUGGACGUCGAACUUCUAUAAUGCAUUUUCGGUAGACCGGAGAAGUCAUUAUUAUAAUAUAGACUUGUCAUCGAUGAAGUUUGGUUUUCAAUAUUCCGUCUAACUUUUGAUUAGUGCAAUAGUGUUUGCCAAUACCGUUGCUCGAAAUGUCAAUUGCAUUUUACAAACGACUGUAUUGAACUUAUAAUCUUACCGAGCAUCGUGUUACUCAUGGCCCGAAGCAAUUGCCAGUGGUGGCGAUAUUAAAUAGUUUUUAUUUUAUUUUAUAAAAUCGUUUUCAAAAAACUAUAAAAUUCAUCAAAUAACGUACAAUCAGUUAUACAGUAAUACUUAAUGCAGAUUCAUGUGUGGACCACAAUAAAAACUUAUUUAUUUCUACUAUGUGCUUUACAAUAGGAACUUGAAAAAAAAACGCUAUAUGAGUUAACCAUAAGAAAACUUUCCGUGAUUGAAUAAACAGCAUAUCCUAUAGAGACUGGACAACACUUAUAGCCAGCCAGCUAGGUUACACGAAUAAAAAAAAAGUCUUCUCGUGUUCACGAAAUGAGCCGAUUUAUUUUAAUUAUUAACAAUACUGAUUAAAUGUCUAAUGCAAAAAAAAAAAAAAAAAAAAAUAGAAUUGUUUGACAUAAUGCACGAUUACAAUAUAGGAGUAAUGCCAUGGAUAUAUUGUAUUAUAAAACCAAUAUAAUAAGCUAUUUACAUAUAAAUAUAUUCUGGCCACAAAAACAAUAGAAAUGUUGUCGUCAAUGAAAUGAUUUUUCGGUGUUAAAAUAUAUUUAUUCAUUCCUGUUAGACAAAAAAUUUCGUCAGUACUAUUUUGAACGUUCAACCGUAGACAUCUGCAGUAUAAAAUAAAUUUAACUCGUCUAUAAUAUAAAGAAUAAAGAAUUCAUAAUUUAUACUUGCAUUUCACAUUUGACGUGUUACUCAUAAUAUAUAAUUUUGAUAUUUAAAUUUCAAUCGAAUAUUUAAUUCGAGUAUCUACUCUUCUUUUGGCAUUUAUCACUUCUCAUCUAACAGUAAGCAAUAUUGAACAAUUAUUUAAAUUAUGAAUUUUUGGAAUUCCUUUCAAAAAGUAAAGACAUGGUCGGCAUCUUCAUAUUCGUUUGUUCAACGGUUAUUAGGAAUCGUGUCUUUAUUCAUUCUGGACAUACAUACAUUUUUAAAGGCAAAAUUAAUAGUAUAAAUAUAAAGUUUGGAUAUCUAACUUAAGGUAUAUUAACUAAUUUACGUCACAGGUCAUAUUUUUUUCACGUCGUCUCUACUGGCACAAAGGGCUGGUCGGCGAGAACGUGAGCCUCGCGAAGUCGCGGUCGGCGCCACGCCUAGGACAAUUGAAGCUCGUCUCGACACUCUCGAGGAAGCCAUACGCAAACUUUCAAGUCAGUUAGCAUAUUUCAAGCAAAAACAAGAGCCGAGAAAUCACACAGAAACAGUUCAAUCACCACAAACACCUAAAAUCAACUCGUCCUCUUCAUCAUGGUGUUACUACCACCUUCGGUUCGGUAAAGAAGCUAGAAAGUGUGGUAGUAACCUGUGUAAGUUUACUCCCAGCUGAUGAGUCAAAAUCAAAGGCUUAAAAAGUUACACACUUCUGAGAAACCAGGAAAAUUCACCUACCCGUGCUCUGAUUGGAGAGAUUUUUAGUAUAUUCAGACCUUAUUAUUUAUAAUAAAAAUGAGUAAUAGUUUAAAAUUGAAAUUAAAAAUACUUUUCUAUGUUUCCUUUCAUUAAUAUUAAAUUUAUAUGUAUAUUGUAAAAUGUUAUAAAAAUAAAACAAAACUUAUCAAAAAAAUAUAA